rnacentral:lncRNA from 1 species
AAAGAACUGAGAGAAGACUUUGGGAGUCUUCUUCCCCGAUAGACUCCUAACCAGAGUUGGAGAUCGAUGCCGAGGGAGAGUCUAACUCUUUUCUCCCGGCUCUAUUUAAAGGGAAGAGGUCUUCCCAUCCUUCCAACCGGAGAUCAAAGCCCUAAACAGAAGAAAAAUCGCCGGAGUUUGUCGAGUCUUUGUCGAGGUUUCCAUCGGCUAUCGUAGCCGCAAUACCACCACAAAAGAGGUAGGAUCAUCUAAUUUUUGAGUUAAUAUAGUUUGUUAUCCUCCUUAGUCCUUGAAACCUUGAUUUCGAUCGACGAUCGCCGGAUUUUUCAUCAAAAAAAUCGAGCCUCCAAUUUUUCCUAUGUUUUCAUUAAUUAUUAUGGAUUUUACCAGUGCAGUUCAUUGUUGCCGACCGUUGGAUUGGAACCCUGGGUUGUGCCGUGUGACCCUAGCCACCACCUGCCAUGGCUGUUGCCAACAAGGAC